UUCAAGGAAGGCGGCACCCCAAGGCGACAACGCUGUCAUGGUAACUGGUGCAAAGAAGCAGAUCUGCCCAUCUGAUCGUGCCGAGCACUGCGUGAACAGCAAGYGGUGCGAUACAGCACAACGCAGAGAAAUCACGCGCCGCCGUGGCAGGGAGCGAGUGCAGCUAGCGAUGCUGGGGAGAUUGUGUAGAGCUGCAGUUUUCCUGGAUCUCUGUGAGAAAUUGAGCUAAGAGCAAGUUGGGAGAUGCAGGUGUUGUGCUGUUCCUGGGCUAUUGUAGCUGGAUGCUCCAUCUGAAGAACAUUUAGGUGCUCUCGGUCUGCCAGACACUGACACUUCAGACACUUCAACAGGAGGAGGCGAGGGAGCUCCAAGGUCUGGACUGCAUGGCCAUCUUCUCCUGAACCCUCUGUCCAUCCAUGAGAUUUAYGCCGAGGGAACCACAUGAGUUGUUUGUUUCUUGCUCCAGAGUUUUKACGA